GCAGCACGGGGGCAACCCUGGUGGCGAGUGGCGAACGGGUGAGUAACAUAUCGGAACGUGCCCUGGAGUGGGGGAUAACUAGUCGAAAGAUUAGCUAAUACCGCAUACGAUCUACGGAUGAAAGUGGGGGAUCGCAAGACCUCAUGCUCGUGGAGCGGCCGAUAUCUGAUUAGCUAGUUGGUGGGGUAAAGGCCUACCAAGGCAUCGAUCAGUAGCUGGUCUGAGAGGACGACCAGCCACACUGGGACUGAGACACGGCCCAGACUCCUACGGGAGGCAGCAGUGGGGAAUUUUGGACAAUGGGCGCAAGCCUGAUCCAGCAAUGCCGCGUGAGUGAAGAAGGCCUUCGGGUUGUAAAGCUCUUUUGUCAGGGAAGAAACGGUUCGGGUUAAUACCUUGGGCUAAUGACGGUACCUGAAGAAUAAGCACCGGCUAACUACGUGCCAGCAGCCGCGGUAAUACGUAGGGUGCAAGCGUUAAUCGGAAUUACUGGGCGUAAAGCGUGCGCAGGCGGUUGUGCAAGACAGAUGUGAAAUCCCCGGGCUCAACCUGGGAAUUGCAUUUGUGACUGUACGGCUAGAGUGUGUCAGAGGGGGGUAGAAUUCCACGUGUAGCAGUGAAAUGCGUAGAGAUGUGGAGGAAUACCGAUGGCGAAGGCAGCCCCCUGGGAUAACACUGACGCUCAUGCACGAAAGCGUGGGGAGCAAACAGGAUUAGAUACCCUGNNAGUCCACGCCCUAAACGAUGUCUACUAGUUGUCGGGUCUUUAUUGACUUGGNAACGCAGCUAACGCGUGAAGUAGACCGCCUGGGGAGUACGGUCGCAAGAUUAAAACUCAAAGGAAUUGACGGGGACCCGCACAAGCGGUGGAUGAUGUGGAUUANUCGAUGCACGCGAAAANCUUACCUACCC
rnacentral:rRNA from 1 species